rnacentral:sRNA from 2 species
ACAAUGGCCGACUAGGGUUCCGGCCCGCCCCACCAGGCGGGUGGCUGGUCCGAGAGUGGGCGACCUCAUAGAGCGGCGGGAAGCCGCGGGGUUACACGGCGGGAUAAAAGCCCGGGAGAA